AUUGAACGCUGGCGGAAUGCUUUACACAUGCAAGUCGAACGGCAGCACGGGUGCUUGCACCUGGUGGCGAGUGGCGAACGGGUGAGUAAUACAUCGGAACGUACACAGUCGUGGGGGAUAACGUAGCGAAAGUUACGCUAAUACCGCAUACGUCCUGAGGGAGAAAGCGGGGGAUCGUAAGGCCUCGCGAGAUUGGAGCGGCCGAUGGCGGAUUAGAUAGUUGGUGGGGUAAAGGACUACCAAGGCGACGAUCAGUAGCGGGUCUGAGAGGACGGCCCGCCACACUGGAACUGAGACACGGUCCAGACUCCUACGGGAGGCAGCAGUGGGGAAUUUUGGACAAUGGGCGAAAGCCUGAUCCAGCCAUUCCGCGUGAGUGAAGGAGGCCUUCGGGUUGUAAAGCUCUUUCGGCAGGGAAGAAACGGCUUGGGAUAAUACCCCGGGCUAAUGACGGUACCUGAAGAAGAAGCACCGGCUAACUACGUACCAGCCGCCGCCGUAA
rnacentral:rRNA from 1 species